rnacentral:sRNA from 1 species
ACACCGAAAGGAGGUGAUCCGGAAGAUGUAUUCAGUCCGGACAAGUGAGGUGGCUGCGGGCUAACGCUCGCCGUCGUACUCUCCGCAGUACUCGGCCGGGUCGAAGGCCGAAAUCCCAAGCAGUCACCGACCCGCGGGCUCGCCGGUAAGUCCGGCCGGCUCCUCCUCGGAGGAACCAGAGCCCGCGGGUUUCUGCGU